GUAAUUUCAGUCCUGCCAGUGGGUUCAAGUUAGGGAGGUGAUAGCUACCCAGAGAAACCAGAGGAGAGGGAGGAUGUUGCAGUAAAAAGCCAAACAGAAAGAGGAGAGAAUAUGGUGUAACUCUCCAUUCCUGUUGGUAUCAUCUGAGAUUGAGUCCUCAGGAACAUAAGGAGCGCACGGCGUGAGAAUGGAUUCCGUGAUGCUCUUCGUGUCUGCUGGCUGGGAAGUAAUUGCAGCAGAAAAAGAAGAAAUCACCAACUUGUACUGGCAUGUUCUUCUGCCUGCUUAGAUUUAUAAAUUUUCCAUCAGAAGACUUUAAAACACUUCUGGGAGGUGGAUGUCAUUGUCCUGUUCUUGUAGAAAAGGAAACUGAGGCAGAAGGAGACAGAAUGACUUUUACCACAGUCACACCGGAAAUCACUGCAGAGGCAGAAGGGAAUCCUGAUUUUCCCAGAUCCACAUCAAAUCUUAAUUAUUACUGGUCUGGCCUAUUGGAGGCCAGAUUUAAAUUGAUAUAAAACUCUGUAUGUG